CAUUACUGAGUUUACGCUCUAUAACCCUUUGUGAACAUACCUAUAACUGUUGCUUCGGCGGGUAGGGUCUCCGCGACCCUCCCGGCCCCCCGCCUCCGGGCGGGUCGGCGCCCGCCGGAGGAUAACCAAACUCUGAUUUAACGACGUUUCUUCUGAGUGGUACAAGCAAAUAAUCAAAACUUUUAACAACGGAUCUCUUGGUUCUGGCAUCGAUGAAGAACGCAGCGAAAUGCGAUAAGUAAUGUGAAUUGCAGAAUUCAGUGAAUCAUCGAAUCUUUGAACGCACAUUGCGCCCGCCAGCAUUCUGGCGGGCAUGCCUGUUCGAGCGUCAUUUCAACCCUCAAGCUCUGCUUGGUGUUGGGGCCCUACAGCUGAUGUAGGCCCUCAAAGGUAGUGGCGGACCCUCCCGGAGCCUCCUUUGCGUAGUAACUUUACGUCUCGCACUGGGAUCCGGAGGGACUCUUGCCGUAAAACCCCCCAAUUUUCCAAAGGUUGACCUCGGA
rnacentral:rRNA from 1 species